UAUACAACUUUCAACAACGGAUCUCUUGGCUCUCGCAUCGAUGAAGAACGCAGCGAAAUGCGAUAAGUAAUGUGAAUUGCAGAAUUCAGUGAAUCAUCGAAUCUUUGAACGCACCUUGCGCUCCUUGGUAUUCCGAGGAGCAUGCCUGUUUGAGUGUCA
rnacentral:rRNA from 5 species